rnacentral:rRNA from 1 species
UACGAAGGGGGCUAGCGUUGCUCGGAAUUACUGGGCGUAAAGGGCGCGUAGGCGGCACUGUUAGUCAGGCGUGAAAGUCCUGGGCUCAACCUGGGAACUGCGCUUGAUACGGCAGAGCUAGAGGAUGGAAGAGGCUCGCGGAAUUCGCAGUGUAGAGGUGAAAUUCGUAGAUAUUGGGAAGAACACCGGUGGCGAAGGCGGCGAGCUGGUCCAUUACUGACGCUGAGGCGCGACAGCGUGGGGAGCAAACAGG